GAUGAACGCUAGCUACAGGCUUAACACAUGCAAGUCGAGGGGCAGCAUUUUAGUUUGCUUGCAAACUAAAGAUGGCGACCGGCGCACGGGUGAGUAACACGUAUCCAACCUGCCGAUAACUCGGGGAUAGCCUUUCGAAAGAAAGAUUAAUAUCCGAUGGUAUAUUAAAACCGCAUGGUUUUACUAUUAAAGAAUUUCGGUUAUCGAUGGGGAUGCGUUCCAUUAGUUUGUUGGCGGGGUAACGGCCCACCAAGACUACGAUGGAUAGGGGUUCUGAGAGGAAGGUCCCCCACAUUGGAACUGAGACACGGUCCAAACUCCUACGGGAGGCAGCAGUGAGGAAUAUUGGUCAAUGGACGAGAGUCUGAACCAGCCAAGUAGCGUGAAGGAUGACUGCCCUAUGGGUUGUAAACUUCUUUUAUAUGGGAAUAAAGUAUUCCACGUGUGGGAUUUUGUAUGUACCAUAUGAAUAAGGAUCGGCUAACUCCGUGCCAGCAGCCGCGGUAAUACGGAGGAUCCGAACGUUAUCCGGAUUUAUUGGGUUUAAAGGGAGCGUAGGUGGAUUGUUAAGUCAGUUGUGAAAGUUUGCGGCUCAACCGUAAAAUUGCAGUUGAAACUGGCAGUCUUGAGUACAGUAGAGGUGGGCGGAAUUCGUGGUGUAGCGGUGAAAUGCUUAGAAAUCACGAAGAACUCCGAUUGCGAAGGCAGCUCACUAGACUGCAACUGACACUGAUGCUCGAAAGUGUGGGUAUCAAACAGGAUUAGAUACCCUGGUAGUCCACACAGUAAACGAUGAAUACUCGCUGUUUGCGAUAUACAGUAAGCGGCCAAGCGAAAGCAUUAAGUAUUCCACCUGGGGAGUACGCCGGCAACGGUGAAACUCAAAGGAAUUGACGGGGGCCCGCACAAGCGGAGGAACAUGUGGUUUAAUUCGAUGAUACGCGAGGAACCUUACCCGGGCUUAAAUUGCAUUUGAAUAAUCUGGAAACAGGUUAGCCGCAAGGCAAAUGUGAAGGUGCUGCAUGGUUGUCGUCAGCUCGUGCCGUGAGGUGUCGGCUUAAGUGCCAUAACGAGCGCAACCCUUAUCUUUAGUUACUAACAGGUCAUGCUGAGGACUCUAGAGAGACUGCCGUCGUAAGAUGUGAGGAAGGUGGGGAUGACGUCAAAUCAGCACGGCCCUUACGUCCGGGGCUACACACGUGUUACAAUGGGGGGUACAGAAGGCAGCUACCUGGCGACAGGAUGCUAAUCCCAAAAACCUCUCUCAGUUCGGAUCGAAGUCUGCAACCCGACUUCGUGAAGCUGGAUUCGCUAGUAAUCGCGCAUCAGCCAUGGCGCGGUGAAUACGUUCCCGGGCCU
rnacentral:rRNA from 1 species